CGGGUGAGUAAUACGUGGAUAACCUACCUAUAAGACUGGGAUAACUUCGGGAAACCGGAGCUAAUACCGGAUAAUAUUUUGAACCGCAUGGUUCAAAAGUGAAAGACGGUCUUGCUGUCACUUAUAGAUGGAUCCGCGCUGCAUUAGCUGGUUGGUAAGGUAACGGCUUACCAAGGCAACGAUGCAUAGCCGACCUGAGAGGGUGAUCGGCCACACUGGAACUGAGACACGGUCCAG
rnacentral:rRNA from 1 species